rnacentral:rRNA from 1 species
UAAGAUGGCGACCGGCGCACGGGUGAGUAACACGUAUCCAACCUGCCGAUAACUCCGGAAUAGCCUUUCGAAAGAAAGAUUAAUACCGGAUAGCAUACGAAUAUCGCAUGAUAUUUUUAUUAAAGAAUUUCGGUUAUCGAUGGGGAUGCGUUCCAUUAGUUUGUUGGCGGGGUAACGGCCCACCAAGACUACGAUGGAUAGGGGUUCUGAGAGGAAGGUCCCCCACAUUGGAACUGAGACACGGUCCAA